rnacentral:rRNA from 1 species
AUUGAACGCUGGCGGCAUGCCUUACACAUGCAAGUCGAACGGUAACAGGUCUUCGGAUGCUGACGAGUGGCGAACGGGUGAGUAAUACAUCGGAACGUGCCUAGUAGUGGGGGAUAACUACUCGAAAGAGUGGCUAAUACCGCAUGAGAUCUACGGAUGAAAGCAGGGGAUCGCAAGACCUUGUGCUACUAGAGCGGCCGAUGGCAGAUUAGGUAGUUGGUGGGAUAAAAGCUUACCAAGCCGACGAUCUGUAGCUGGUCUGAGAGGACGAUCAGCCACCCUGGGACUGAGACACGGCCCAGACUCCUACGGGAGGCAGCAGUGGGGAAUUUUGGACAAUGGGCGCAAGCCUGAUCCAGCAAUGCCGCGUGCAGGAUGAAGGCCUUCGGGUUGUAAACUGCUUUUGUACGGAACGAAAAGCCCUGGGUUAGUACCCUGGGGUCAUGACGGUACCGUAAGAAUAAGCACCGGCUAACUACGUGCCAGCCGCCGCAGUAACAC